rnacentral:rRNA from 1 species
UCGCGAAAACUUCACAAUGGGAGAAAUCCCGAUGAGGGAAUUCCAAGUGCUAGCACUAUGUGUUAGCUGUUCUUUUGUCUAAAAAACAGAAGAAGUAAGGGCCGGGUAAGACGGGUGC